UUGAGCCGUGUGUGGGGAAACUUGCAAGCACGGUUCUUAGGAGAGCGGCGACCAGCAAUGGUCGCCGCUUAUCCGAC
rnacentral:ncRNA from 1 species